UACGAAGGGUGCAAGCGUUACUCGGAAUUACUGGGCGUAAAGCGUGCGUAGGUGGUUCGUUAAGUCUGAUGUGAAAGCCCUGGGCUCAACCUGGGAAUGGCACUGGAUACUGGCGGACUAGAGUGCGGUAGAGGGUAGUGGAAUUCCCGGUGUAGCAGUGAAAUGCGUAGAGAUCGGGAGGAACAUCCGUGGCGAAGGCGACUACCUGGACCAGCACUGACACUGAGGCACGAAAGCGUGGGGAGCAAACAGG
rnacentral:rRNA from 1 species